AUCAACUUUCGAUGGUAGGAUAGAGGCCUACCAUGGUGGUAACGGGUAACGGGGUGUUAGGGCACGACACCGGAGAGGGAGCCUGAGAAACGGCUACCACAUCCAAGGAUGGCAGCAGGCGCGCAAAUUACCCAAUCCCGACACGGGGAGGUAGUGACAAUAAAUAACAAUACGGGGUUCUUUAGGAUCUCGUAAUUGGAAUGAGUACAAUUUAAAUCUCUUAACGAGGAACAAUUGGAGGGCAAGUCUGGUGCCAGCAGCCGCGGUAAUUCCAGCUCCAAUAGCGUAUAUUAAAGUUGUUGCAGUUAAAAAGCUCGUAGUUGAAUUUCGGGGUUAGUAGGUUGGUCAUGCCUCUGGUAUGUACUGAUCUCACUGAUUCCUCCUUCCUUAUGAACCGUAAUGCCAUUAAUUUGGUGUUGCGGGGAAUUUGGACUGUUACUUUGAAAAAAUUAGAGUGUUUAAAGCAGGCUAACGCUUGAAUACAUUAGCAUGGAAUAAUGAAAUAGGACGUUCGAUCUUAUUUUGUUGGUUUCUAGGAUUGACGUAAUGAUUAAUAGGGAUAGUUGGGGGCAUUAGUAUUCAAUUGUCAGAGGUGAAAUUCUUGGAUUUAUUGAAGACUAACUACUGCGAAAGCAUUUGCCAAGGAUGUUUUCAUUAAUCAAGAACGAAAGUUAGGGGAUCGAAGACGAUCAGAUACCGUCGUAGUCUUAACCAUAAACUAUGCCGACUAGGGAUCGGAUGAUGUUAUUUUUAAUGACUCAUUCNGCGCCUUACGGGAAACCAAAGUGUUUGGGUUC
rnacentral:rRNA from 1 species